AGCUAACAGCUUUCAGCUACAAUUUCACAGCUUUCAGCUAGCUUAACAGCUAUCAGCUAUAAUCUCGCAGCUUUCAGCUAGUUUUGCCAAACAGAGCCUAAAUGUCAGGAGACUUCUAUAGGGAGGUGAGGUCUUUAUCUGAUUUCUUAUAUGCAGGAUCUAAGUGAUGAAUCAGCAAAAGAGAUCCUGUGAACAAUCAUGCUCCAUAAUUAACUUGUGGCUCUAAACAUUUUAUAGCAAUGGUAUCCACACUUUUUUUUCUGCUUUUUCAGAUUUGGCUGUCUUUGUAGGAGGUGACAGAAGCAAUAACAGCUCUAACAGUGGCCGGAUUUUGUGUUCUCCUACUUCAUCAGUGAGCUAUUGACAAGGUCUCUGAGGAAAUGUUUCUGCUGAAAAGCUACUACAGCUCCAAUUCAGUCCGUGGCUGAUGGAACUGAAAGCUGCUUCCUAUGAGGCAAUUUAUGGCAAGAGUAUGAUUACAUGCGCUGCGCCUCAAAUACCAGUUAACAGAAGAGAAAAAAGGGGAAAAGUGCUGAGCUUCUGUCUAACUGGGUUUACAGAGAUGUGGUCAUUUUUACCUUGAGGUGCUCAGAUGUUCAAAAUAAAAUGCUUAUUCAAUACUACUUGAUGAAAUCACAUUCAGGUGAAGCUUUACCGAACACGAGGCAAGGGAUUGGAUUUGCUUGAGGGGUGAAGAUUCUGAUGCUUGAGGGCAAACAGGACAGCGCCAACCUUGAACAGACAGAGAAGCUAAACAAACAGCCAAUGAAGCAUGAAUUGUUGAGACUAGGCGAUUGCUGAAAUCAAACGAGCGA